rnacentral:pre_miRNA from 1 species
GGAUGCAUUUCUGGGUAAUUACUCCUUUGGCAGUAGCUAAUCAAAUAUGUUAAGGCAUGGUUUCUUACGUGGUUACCUCACUGCCAAGGGAGAUUUGCCCCGUAAUUCUCGC